rnacentral:rRNA from 1 species
AACAAACGCUGGCGGCGUGCCUAAUACAUGCAAGUCGAACGGGGAAAGCUUUCGGGUGAGUACUAGUGGCGCACGGGUGAGGAACGCGUGGAUAAUCUGCCUUAGAGUGGGGGAUAACUAGUCGAAAGAUUAGCUAAUACCGCAUAAGACCACAGGAGCUGCGGCUCUAGGGGUCAAAGGUUUUUCGCUCUAAGAUGAGUCCGCGUAAGAUUAGCUAGUUGGUGAGGUAACGGCUCACCAAGGCGACGAUCUUUAACUGGUCUGAGAGGAUGAUCAGUCACACUGGAACUGAGACACGGUCCAGACUCCUACGGGAGGCAGCAGUAGGGAAUAUUGCACAAUGGAGGAAACUCUGAUGCAGCGACGCCGCGUGAGUGAUGAAGGCCUUCGGGUCGUAAAGCUCUGUCGCAGGGGAAUAACACAAUGAAUGUACCCUGUAAGAAAGGAUCGGCUAACUUCGUGCCAGCAGCCGCAGUAACAC